GGGGCGGGGCCUGGCCGCCAUGCUGAGAGGAAGCACAGAGGAAUAGCUCCUGAAAACUUCCCAAGUUUUUGGCACUAAAACCCAGCAAAAUUAUUAUUAAAAGCCUGAUACCUACACCCCAGCGAAAGAAGCAACCCUGGUCCCGAGGAGAGGCUUGCCGCGAGGUUCUAGUCCCUCGGUGGGGCGCACCCAGCUGAACGCGAUGGAGACCGCCCGGGCGGUGAGUGGGGUGGACGGCCACCGCCCAGCUAUCCUGCCCACCAGCGGUAAGGCAGAAACGCAUGGCUAGGCGGGCCUGGCCCUGUUCCCCCCCCUAUGGACCGGCGGGGGUGAUCCCGGUCCCCACCCUGUGACCCAGCGUAAUGCCGCAACACCAGCGAGAGUCCACUCCUAAGAUGGCAGAGACCGCAUGGCAGAGCAGCCGGAUGCACCCUCCUCUCCUGCUUGCAUAAAGACGG